AAGUAGGGGAUCGUAAGACCUUUUGCUUUUUGAGUGGCCGAUGCCUGAUUAGCUAGUUGGUGGGGUAAUGGCAUACCAAGGCGACGAUCAGUAGAUGGUCUGAGAGGACGACCAGCCACACUGGGACUGAGACACGGCCCAGACUCCUACGGGAGGCAGCAGUGGGGAAUUUUGGACAAUGGGGGAAAGCCUGAUCCAGCAAUGCCGCGUGAGUGAAGAAGGCCUUCGGGUUGUAAAGCUCUUUGGCCGAGAAGAAAAGGUCGCGACUAAUAAUCAACACUCAUGACGGUAUCUACAGAAGAAGCACCGGCUAACUACGUGCCAGCAGCCGCGGUAAUACGUAGGGUGCCAGCGUUAAUCGGAAUUACUGGGCGUAAAGGGUGCGCAGGCGGCUUUGUAAGUCAGAUGUGAAAUCCCCGGGCUUAACCUGGGAAUUGCGUUUGAAACUACAAAGCUUAG
rnacentral:rRNA from 1 species